rnacentral:RNase_P_RNA from 1 species
AGUAAAUUGAGUAGUCGCUGAUAUAAUUCGAAAGGAUGUAUGAGAGGAAAGUCCGGGCUCCAUAGAGCAAAGAUGCUAGAUAACGUCUAGUGAGGGAAACCUUAAGGAAAGUGCAACAGAAAAUAACCGCCAAUUUUGGUAAGGGUGAAAAGGUGAGGUAAGAGCUUACCGCUGAUAUGGUGACAUAUUGGGUCAAUGUAAACCCCAUCUGGAGCAACACCUAAAUAAGAAGAUUAAGUCUGCUCGACAACUUCUUAAUUGCGUGGCUUGAGAUAUAUAGUAAUAUAUAUCCUAGAUAAAUGACUACUUUAAAUGACAGAACCCGGCUUAUAGAUUUACUUU